CCUACGGGUGGCAGCAGUCGAGAAUCAUUCACAAUGGGGGAAACCCUGAUGGUGUGACGCCGCGUGGGGGAAUGAAGGUCUUCGGAUUGUAAACCCCUGUCAUGUGGGAGCAAAUUAAAAAGAUAGUACCACAAGAGGAAGAGACGGCUAACUCUGUGCCAGCAGCCGCGGUAAUACAGAGGUCUCAAGCGUUGUUCGGAAUCACUGGGCGUAAGGCGUGCGUAGGCUGUUUCGUAAGUCGUGUGUGAAAGGCGCGGGCUCAACCCGCGGACGGCACAUGAUACUGCGAGACUAGAGUAAUGGAGGGGGAACCGGAAUUCUCGGUGUAGCAGUGAAAUGCGUAGAUAUCGAGAGGAACACUCGUGGCGAAGGCGGGUUCCUGGACAUUAACUGACGCUGAGGCACGAAGGCCAGGGGAGCGAAAGGGAUUAGAUACCCCUGUAGUC
rnacentral:rRNA from 1 species